UGCCAGACUCCUACGGGAGGCAGCAGUGGGGAAUAUUGCACAAUGGGGGAAACCCUGAUGCAGCAACGCCGCGUGAGUGAAGAAGUAUUUCGGUAUGUAAAGCUCUAUCAGCAGGGAAGAAGAUGACGGUACCUGAGUAAGAAGCCCCGGCUAACUACGUGCCAGCAGCCGCGGUAAUACGUAGGGGGCAAGCGUUAUCCGGAUUUACUGGGUGUAAAGGGAGCGUAGACGGUGAGACAAGUCUGAAGUGAAAGCCCGGGGCUCAACCCCGGGACUGCUUUGGAAACUGCCUGACUGGAGUGCUGGAGAGGCAAGCGGAAUUCCUAGUGUAGCGGUGAAAUGCGUAGAUAUUAGGAAGAACACCAGUGGCGAAGGCGGCUUGCUGGACAGUAACUGACGUUGAGGCUCGAAAGCGUGGGGAGCAAACAGGAUUAGAUACCCCGGUA
rnacentral:rRNA from 1 species